rnacentral:rRNA from 1 species
CUACGGGUCGCAGCAGUGGGGAAUAUUGGACAAUGGGGGAAACCCUGAUCCAGCAAUGCCGCGUGUGUGAAGAAGGCCUGCGGGUUGUAAAGCACUUUCGGUUGGGAGGACUGCUUCUAGCACUAAUAUUGUUGGAAGUUGACGUUACCUUCAGAAGAAGCACCGGCUAACUCCGUGCCAGCAGCCGCGGUAAUACGGACGGGUGCAAGCGUUAAUCGGAAUUACUGGGCGUAAAGCGCGCGUAGGCGGCUAGAUCAGUCGGGUGUGAAAGCCCCGGGCUUAACCUGGGAACUGCAUCCGAUACUGUCGAGCUUGAGUACAGGAGAGGAGAGUGGAAUUCCACAUGUAGCGGUGAAAUGCGUAGAUAUGUGGAGGAACACCAAUGGCGAAGGCAGCUCUCUGGCCUGAUACUGACGCUGAGGUGCGAAAGCGUGGGGAGCAAACAGGAUUAGAUACCCCCGUAGUC